UGAACCGGGAAGAGCUCAAAUUUGAAAUCUGGCGUCCUCAGGGCGUCCGAGUUGUAAUCUAUAGAGGCGUUUUCCGUGCCGGACCGUGUCCAAGUUCCUUGGAACAGGAUAUCAAAGAGGGUGACAAUCCCGUACUUGACACGACGACCGGUGCUCUGUGAUACGUCUUCUACGAGUCGAGUUGUUUGGGAAUGCAGCUCAAAAUGGGUGGUGAGUUCCAUCUAAAGCUAAAUAUUGGCGAGAGACCGAUAGCGAACAAGUACCGUGAGGGAAAGAUGAAAAGCACUUUGGAAAGAGAGUUAAACAGUACGUGAAAUUGUUGAAAGGGAAACGAUUGAAGUCAGUCGUGACCGAGAGGCUCAGCCGGUUCUGCCGGUGUAUUCCCCUCG
rnacentral:rRNA from 1 species